rnacentral:rRNA from 1 species
GACGAGGGGUCCUAGCGUUGUUCGGAAUCACUGGGCGUAAAGCGUAUGUAGGCGGCCUGUUAAGUCAGUUGUGAAAUCCCACGGCUCAACCGUGGAAUUGCAAUUGAAACUGGCGGGCUUGAAUGCAGGAGAGGUUGGUAGAAUACCUAGUGUAGUGGUGAAAUACGUAGAUAUUCGGAAGAACACCAGUGGCGAAGGCGGCUCACUGGACCGGCAUUGACGCUGAGGUGCGAAAGCGUGGGGAGCAAACAGG